CCUACGGGUGGCAGCAGUGGGGAAUAUUGCACAAUGGGGGAAACCCUGAUGCAGCGACGCCGCGUGAAGGAAGAAGUAUUUCGGUAUGUAAACUUCUAUCAGCAGGGAAGAAAAUGACGGUACCUGACUAAGAAGCCCCGGCUAACUACGUGCCAGCAGCCGCGGUAAUACGUAGGGGGCAAGCGUUAUCCGGAUUUACUGGGUGUAGAGGGAGCGUAGGCGGUUUAGCAAGUCAGAAGUGAAAGCCCGGGGAUCAACUCCGGGACUGCUUUUGAAACUGUUGAACUAGAUUGCAGGAGAGGUAAGUGGAAUUCGUAGUGUAGCGGUGAAAUGCGUAGAUAUACGGAGGAACACCAGUGGCGAAGGCGGCCUGCUGGACAAUAACUGACGCUGAGGCGCGAAAGCGUGGGGAGCAAACAGGAUUAGAUACCCCAGUAGUC
rnacentral:rRNA from 1 species